AUUGAACGCUGGCGGCAUGCCUUACACAUGCAAGUCGAACGGUAACAGGUCUUCGGAUGCUGACGAGUGGCGAACGGGUGAGUAUUACAUCGGAACGUGCCUAGUAGUGGGGGAUAACUACUCGAGAGAGUGGCUAAUACCGCAUGAGAUCUACGGAUGAAAGCAGGGGAUCGCAAGACCUUGUGCUACUAGAGCGGCCGAUGGCAGAUUAGGUAGUUGGUGGGAUAAGAGCUUACCAAGCCGACGAUCUGUAGCUGGUCUGAGAGGACGAUCAGCCACACUGGGACUGAGACACGGCCCAGACUCCUACGGGAGGCAGCAGUGGGGAAUUUUGGACAAUGGGCGCAAGCCUGAUCCAGCAAUGCCGCGUGCAGGAUGAAGGCCUUCGGGUUGUAAACUGCUUUUGUACGGAACGAAAAGCCCUGGGUUAAUACCCUGGGGUCAUGACGGUACCGUAAGAAUAAGCACCGGCUAACUACGUGCCAGCCGCCGCAGUAA
rnacentral:rRNA from 1 species